rnacentral:rRNA from 1 species
UACAGAGGUGGCAAGCGUUGUUCGGAAUUACUGGGCGUAAAGGGCGCGUAGGCGGUUGCCUAAGUCGGACGUGAAAUCCCCAAGCUUAACUUGGGAACUGCAUCCGAUACUGGGUGACUUGAGUUCGGGAGAGGAAUGUGGAAUUCCAGGUGUAGCGGUGAAAUGCGUAGAUAUCUGGAGGAACACCGGUGGCGAAGGCGGCAUUCUGGACCGAAACUGACGCUGAGGCGCGAAAGCCAGGGGAGCAAACGGG